rnacentral:rRNA from 1 species
AGAGUUUGAUCAUGGCUCAGGAUGAACGCUAGCUACAGGCUUAACACAUGCAAGUCGAGGGGAAACGACAUCGAAAGCUUGCUUUUGAUGGGCGUCGACCGGCGCACGGGUGAGUAACACGUAUCCAACCUGCCUUAUACUCGGGGAUAGCCUUUCGAAAGAAAGAUUAAUACCCGAUAUCAUACUCUUGCCGCAUGGUAAGAUUAUGAAAGGAUUCCGGUAUAAGAUGGGGAUGCGUUCCAUUAGGCAGUUGGUGGGGUAACGGCCCACAAACCUUCGAUGGAUAGGGGUUCUGAGAGGAAGGUCCCCCANAUUGGAACUGAGACACGGUCCAAACUCAUACGGGAGGCA